rnacentral:rRNA from 1 species
UAGUAGGAGGCGCCAUCUGUCAGCUCGAGGAGCUUACAGCCUUGCGGAAUUAUUCACCCUUGUCUUUUGCAUACUUCUUGUUUCCUUGGUGGGUUCGCCCACCACUAGGACAAACAUAAACCUUUUGUAAUUGCAAUCAGCGUCUGUAACAAAUUAAUAAUUACAACUUUCAACAACGGAUCUCUUGGUUCUGGCAUCCAUGAAAAACGCAACGAAAUGCGAUAAGUAGUGUGAAUUGCAGAAUUCAGUGAAUCAUCGAAUCUUUGAACGCACAUUGCGCCCUUUGGUAUUCCAAAGGGCAUGCCUGUUCGAGCGUCAUUUGUACCCUCAAGCUUUGCUUGGUGUUGGGCGUCUUGUCUCUAGCUUUGCUGGAGACUCGCCUUAAAGUAAUUGGCAGCCGGCCUACUGGUUUCGGAGCGCAGCACAAGUCGCACUCUCUAUCAGCAAAGGUCUAGCAUCCAUUAAGCCUUUUUUUCAACUUUUGACCUCGGAUCAGGUAGGGAUACCCGCUGAACUUAAGCAUAUCAAUAAGCGGAG